AAGUUUACCGCGAAUGUUAUGAAAGAAAUUAUGAGUGUGUGUUGUUAUUAUGUGUUUAGUGUUACGUCUUAGUGGAAUUUACUGAUCACUAGUGAAAGCCACGCAAAGGAGAGUUAGUAGUGCUGUGUUUUUUUAAAUGAGAGAAGAAACAGUUUCUGAUAGUUUUCUGUCUACCAGUUUACUAUCACCCGAUACUGUCAUUGUAAAGGAGAAGCACCAUGAUUGCUGUUAGGGAUGGUUAUAAGUUCAUCGGCACUCCACAUGGGAUAUUAUUGAGGCGUCUACGCGGACCAUUAGAAGAUUUUAAAGCAGCGAAGCAUGUCUACAGCCAGUUGUGCCCCUGGAACAACGUGCGAAGUUUUGUGGACCAUUUGCUGAAAAAUAUCUGUUAUAAUAGAGAUGGACUGGUAAUUCUUAACAAGCCUUAUGGCAUAAGUGUGAAACCACCAACUAAGAAAAAUUUUUUAUCAGACUCAUAUCUGUUGAACACAGCAGUUGUGGGAGACUGCCAGGAAACUCUUUUAGAUGCCUUACCAUGCAUCGCUGAAGAAUUGGGGUAUCGCUCCCUCAGUCCAGUAAAGACCCCUGGAAGGUAUGCUAGUGGAAUCACCAUUUUAUCAGCAGAUGAGAGUGUUGCUAAAAAUGUAAGGAAGUCAAUGAAUUAUGGCAAAGUACAGGACAAAGUGAUCUACAACUAUUGGUUGGUUGUAGUAGGGCAGCCCCAACCUGAUUCCGGCUCUGAGAACAUUGGUAUCACAUUGAAAAAAGGACCUGGACAAAAGGAAUCGCAGGUGAUUCUUGAGACAAAAUGGUCAAAGAAGUCCGUGAAACGUCAGGAAAUUUUUCCUACAUUUGUAGAGUACUCCACAUUGGAAAAGGGAUCUCUUUGUAGCCUGGUAGAAUUCAAAACAUCACGCACAAAAUGGCAUUUUAUUAGGAUUUACUCAGCAUAUUUGUUGAGUCCAGUGCUAGGAGACCACCUUUAUGGCGGAAGAGUGCAGCAUGUUCUUGGUAUACCUGUAGCUAUAAGUCCCUACAGUGAUCACGCAAAGUUGCCUCAGAUCAACGAAAAAUAGAUGCGACUACAGCUUGUGACUGUUCACGAUGCGGCUGGGUAAUAGGCAGCUUAACCCGAAAGCUGCACUCAUACAGAGUAAUUCUUGUAGUAACAUUUAUUGGAUACCCAAUCAAGAGGGGGGACCCAAAAUUCAACACUCUUGGAAAAACAAGAUCCCACCCCCUAGUUUCAGAGGUUAAGUAAACAGUUAGUUGCUGCCCUGGAGCUAAAACCUGGUGAAGAUCUGAUUAUACCAGCACACAUUCACUUUAAAAGCUUGAUUUUAAGAAGUUAUGAAGGCAAAAACAAUGAUCUGAUAAUUGAUGC